rnacentral:lncRNA from 1 species
UUGUUCACGUCCUUCCUGCUAACUUAGACUGCGGCUGCUUCUCUAUUUGUCAGUUGAAAUGGAUGAUGAACAUAAAUGGAAAAUGAGGGUAGGAUUAAUAGUGAACAAUCCAUGAGUAACAUUAGAGCCCGACGUAAUUGGAAUGCAAUUGAAGAAGAAACUUUACUCACUAUAUUAGAAGAGAUGGUGGUUGCUGGAAACAAAGGACAGAAUGGAACAUUCAAGACUGAAACU